AUCCCAUUAGCAUGACUGGAAUGCUCCAAAAAGAGGUCACAUGUUAAGAGUCCUAGGAACAUGACCCAGAACUAAGGGUUAUGAGUUGGGGUAGAGAGACUUUGAUUAGUUCCUGAGAUGUGAUAGACCAGCUCAAAGAGACAGAAAGGGAUGUGGAGAAAAGGACUACAAAAGAUGAGACCCAUAAAGGAGAUCAAGGGCUUUUGGUGUGAGUUUGCUGGCAUUGAUUCUUCUACUCCAUUUGGCAUUAGUGGCAUAGGAGGAAGACACCUUCAUGGGCUGAACUCGGAGUGCAUUCAAGAGGCACUAAUAGACCAAGGAAUUCCCUCUUUCCUCCCUGGCUGCUCUAAUGCCUGGAGGGAAGAUAAACUAGACUGUCUGGCGACUGACUAACUUCCAAUGAAGUUCCCAUAAAAAUG
rnacentral:lncRNA from 1 species